CUCUCUUGACCCUAACAGGCUGCAGCACAUCCGUCAGUACGGUUCAGGAACACUCUUCACUCCGCUGGUAACCCAUAGUGGCUUAUCCACUACUUCUCCGUACGGCAGUCUACCCAUAAAGACGGACGCUGUCCCUGUACUGUCCCUUCCUAGACUUUCUGCACUUCAUCAGUAUACGGGAGAGUUUGUAGCGGAAUACAGGGUGAGAUGAGAUCUUGAUCAUCGAUUGUCAGAUGAG